rnacentral:rRNA from 1 species
UCCAGACUCCUACGGGAGGCAGCAGUGAGGAAUAUUGGUCAAUGGACGAGAGUCUGAACCAGCCAAGUAGCGUGAAGGAUGACUGCCCUAUGGGUUGUAAACUUCUUUUAUAUGGGAAUAAAAUGUUCCACGUGUGGGAUUUUGUAUGUACCAUAUGAAUAAGGAUCGGCUAACUCCGUGCCAGCAGCCGCGGUAAUACGGAGGAUGCGAGCGUUAUCCGGAUUUAUUGGGUUUAAAGGGUGCGUAGACGGCGCUUCAGGUCAGCGGUGAAAUACCGGGGCUCAACCCCGGGGCUGCCGUUGAAACCGGAGCGCUAGAAUUCCGAUGCCGUCGGAGGAAUGUGUGGUGUAGCGGUGAAAUGCAUAGAUAUCACACAGAACACCGAUUGCGAAGGCAUCUGACGAAUCGGAGAUUGACGCUGAUGCACGAAAGCGUGGGUAUCGAACAGGAUUAGAUACCCCAGUA